rnacentral:rRNA from 1 species
CAGUUCGGAUUGUAGUCUGCAACUCGACUACAUGAAGCUGGAAUCGCUAGUAAUCGCGGAUCAGAAUGCCGCGGUGAAUACGUUCCCGGGUCUUGUACACACCGCCCGUCACACCAUGGGAGUCGGAAAUGCCCGAAGCCAGUGACCCAACUGAAAGGAGGGAGCUGUCGAAGGCAGGUCUGAUAACUGGGGUGAAGUCGUAACAAGGUAUC